AUACUUACCUGGCAGGGAGAUGAUACCAUGAUCACAAAGGUGGUUUUCCCAGAGCGAGGCUUACCCAUUGCACUCCAGAUGUGCUGACACCUGUGAUUUCCCUGACGUAGGAAACUCGAUUGCAUAGUUUGUAGUAGUGGG
rnacentral:snRNA from 1 species